AUUGAACGCUGGCGGCAGGCCUAACACAUGCAAGUCGAGCGGAUGAAGGGAGCUUGCUCCUGGAUUCAGCGGCGGACGGGUGAGUAAUGCCUAGGAAUCUGCCUGGUAGUGGGGGAUAACGUCCGGAAACGGGCGCUAAUACCGCAUACGUCCUGAGAGAGAAAGUGGGGGAUCUUCGGGCCUCACGCUAUCAGAUGAGCCUAGGUCGGAUUAGCUAGUUGGUGGGGUAAAGGCCUACCAAGGCGACGAUCCGUAACUGGUCUGAGAGGAUGAUCAGUCACACUGGAACUGAGACACGGUCCAGACUCCUACGGGAGGCAGCAGUGGGGAAUAUUGGACAAUGGGCGAAAGCCUGAUCCAGCCAUGCCGCGUGUGUGAAGAAGGUCUUCGGAUUGUAAAGCACUUUAAGUUGGGAGGAAGGGCAGUAAGUUAAUACCUUGCUGUUUUGACGUUACCAACAGAAUAAGCACCGGCUAACUUCGUG
rnacentral:rRNA from 1 species